UACGUAGGGUGCGAGCGUUGUCCGGAAUUAUUGGGCGUAAAGAGCUCGUAGGCGGCUUAUUGCGUCUACCGUGAAAACUGGAGGCUUAACCUUCAGCUUGCGGUGGAUACGGGUAGGCUUGAGUGCGGCAGAGGAGACUAGAAUUCCUGGUGUAGCAGUGAAAUGCGUAGAUAUCAGGAGGAAUACCGAUGGCGAAGGCAGGUCUCUGGGCUGACACUGACGCUCAUGCACGAAAGCGUGGGGAGCAAACAGG
rnacentral:rRNA from 1 species